rnacentral:rRNA from 1 species
AUUGAACGCUGGCGGCAGGCCUAACACAUGCAAGUCGGACGGUAGCACAGAGGAGCUUGCUCCUCGGGUGACGAGUGGCGGACGGGUGAGUAAUGUCUGGGGAUCUGCCCGAUAGAGGGGGAUAACCACUGGAAACGGUGGCUAAUACCGCAUAACGUCGCAAGACCAAAGAGGGGGACCUUCGGGCCUCUCACUAUCGGAUGAACCCAGAUGGGAUUAGCUAGUAGGCGGGGUAAUGGCCCACCUAGGCGACGAUCCCUAGCUGGUCUGAGAGGAUGACCAGCCACACUGGAACUGAGACACGGUCCAGACUCCUACGGGAGGCAGCAGUGGGGAAUAUUGCACAAUGGGCGCAAGCCUGAUGCAGCCAUGCCGCGUGUAUGAAGAAGGCCUUCGGGUUGUAAAGUACUUUCAGCGGGGAGGAAGGCGAUAAGGUUAAUAACCUUGUCGAUUACGUUACCCGCAGAAGAAGCACCGGCUAACUCCGUGCCAGCAGCCGCAGUAA